CACAAGUAUUCAAACUGUGUUCCAUGGAGCCUUGGAGUUCUGCUUUGCUGGGAUCCAAGGACAGGUUCAGCAGGCUGUGAUUACAAUAAUUACAGACCUGUGAAGGUCCAAUUGACAAAACCGAAUAUAAACUGGGACAACCCACUGCACUGGUUCUUUCCGUGCUCCUUAGGAUUUGGUGGUGGUGGUUGUUGGAAGAUUUGCCAAGUGUACUGAGAAUAUAAAGACUGCUCAAUAGAUUAUCAUCAGAUCAUUGCAAAGGAGGCAAGCCCUUCCUUCACUGCUUUCCAUGAUUGUCGACCAUGUUCACAAUUAGAGGUAGGUGCCUUCUCCGCUAAAACACACACUCACUGCAGGAAAAUGGACACUCAGAAAAUAAAGUGUACACAGUGCUGAGUUUUUGAGGCAAUUCCUAUGUCUUCCCUGAUCACAUCUCCUAGCAUAUCUGGGUCUUCUGCCACAGAAAGCAGAGGGAAAGGAGAAACUCACACACUUAUCAGGAGAUAUAGUCUUUCCCUGCUCUCGCAAAUUCUAGAAUUUCCUGCAGCUCUCUCCUACAGGACAAGAAAUGUUUG
ensembl:lncRNA